UGUAGCCUUGUCAUUCAGUGCUUCCUUUACAAUGGACCGCACUGGCCGAAAUGACUGCCACUGUGAACCUGUAGUCCAUGGACCUCCUGUCCCAUCUCCAUGGAUCCUGUGGAUAUAUUUGUACUACUGACAAUU
rnacentral:snoRNA from 1 species